AUUGAACGCUGGCGGCAGGCCUAACACAUGCAAGUCGAACGAGAGGCGGACGGGUUAGUAAUGUAUGGGAAUCUGCCCGAUAGAGGGGGAUAACUACUGGAAACGGUGGCUAAUACCGCAUACUAUCGGAUGAACCCAAAUGGGAUUAGCUAGUAGGUGGGGUAAAGGUUCACCUAGGCGACGAUCUCCAGCUGGUCUGAGAGGAUGAUCAGCCACACUGGGACUGAGACACGGUCCAGACUCCUACGUGAGGCAGCAGUGGGGAAUAUUGCACAAUGGGCGCAAGCCUGAUGCAGCCAUGCCGCGUGUAUGAAGAAGGCCUUAGGGUUGUAAAGUACUUUCAGCGGGGAGGCGUUACCCGCAGAAGAAGCACCGGCUAACUCCGUGCCAGCAGCCGCGGUAAUUC
rnacentral:rRNA from 1 species